rnacentral:rRNA from 1 species
ACUUGAACAGGCUGUUGCUGGCCCUCUCUUGUGAGGGGGACAUGUGCACGCUUGUCAUCUUUAUCUCUCCAACUGUGCACACAUUGUAGACCUGGAGUCGUCUUUGUUGAUUCAUUCGAGUUGGCACUGCAGCGCUUUUCAAAACAAAAAAAAGUCUGCUCUGCCUUUUGCAUUUCCAGGUCUAUGUCAUUUUCACAACCUCAAUGUGUUUAGAAUGUUGAAUCAGGUUCUUUAUUGUACCUAUAAAAGUUAAAUAUACAACUUUCAGCAACGGAUCUCUUGGCUCUCGCAUCGAUGAAGAACGCAGCGAAAUGCGAUAAGUAAUGUGAAUUGCAGAAUUCAGUGAAUCAUCGAAUCUUUGAACGCAUCUUGCGCUCCUUGGUAUUCCGAGGAGCAUGCCUGUUUGAGUGUCAUUUCGAGUUCUCAACUGCAUCAAUUUCUCAUUGAUGUGGCUUGGAUGUGGGGGAUUGAUUAUUGCAGGCUUCUGUCAAAGGAGGUCGGCUCCCCUGAAAAGUAUUAGUGGUAUCUGAGCAGAAGAAACUACUACAGGUGUGAUAACUAUCUAUGCCUUCAGUAUGCUGCAUAAAAACAGAUUGCACUGCUUCUAACUAAUGAAAACCUCUCUUUUACAAGGAGGGGCCACAUUUGACGAAUUUGACCUCAAAUCAGGUAGGACUACCCGCUGAACUUAAGCAUAUCAAUAAGCGGAGGAAAAGGAACUAACAAGGAUUCCCCUAGUAACUGCGAGUGAAGCGGGAAAAGCUCAAAUUUGAAAUCUGGCGGUUUUUUGACUGUCCGAGUUGUAAUCUAGAGAAGUGUUACCUGUGCUGAACCGUGUACAAGUCUUCUGGAAUGGAGCAUCAUAGAGGGUGAGAAUCCCGUCUUUGACAUGGACUACCAGUACAUUAUGGUGCGCUCUCGAAGAGUCGAGUUGUUUGGGAAUGCAGCUCAAAAUGGGUGGUAAAUGCCAUCUAAAGCUAAAUAUUGGCGAGAGACCGAUAGCGAACAAGUACCGUGAGGGAAAGAUGAAAAGAACUUUGGAAAGAGAGUUAAACAGUACGUGAAAUUGCUGAAAGGGAAACGCUUGAAGUCAGUCACGUUGGCUAGAAAUCAGCCCUGCUCUUGCUCGGUGUACUUUCUGGUUGAUGGGUCAGCAUCAAUUUUGACCAUUGGAUAAAGUCUCUGGGAAUGUGGCAUCUUCGGAUGUGUUAUAGCCCAGGGUCGCAUGCAGUGGUUGGGAUUGAGGAACUCAGCACGCCGCAAGGCCGGGUUUCGACCACGUUCGUGCUUAGGAUGCUGGCAUAAUGGCUUUAAUCGACCCGUCUUGAAACACGGACCAAGGAGUCUAACAUGCCUGCGAGUGUUUGGGUGGAAAAACCCAUGCGCGGAAUGAAAGUGAAAGUUGAGAUCCCCCUCGAAAGGGAGCAUUGACGCCCGGACCAGAGCUUUUGUGACGGAUCCGCGGUAGAGCAUGUAUGUUGGGACCCGAAAGAUGGUGAACUAUGCCUGAAUAGGGUGAAGCCAGAGGAAACUCUGGUGGAGGCUCGUAGCGAUUCUGACGUGCAAAUCGAUCGUCAAAUUUGGGUAUAGGGGCGAAAGACUAAUCGAACCAUCUAGUAGC